UACGUAGGGACCGAGCGUUGUCCGGAUUCAUUGGGCGUAAAGAGCUCGUAGGCGGCUGCUCAAGUCGAAUGUGAAAACUCGAGGCUCAACCUCGAGCCUGCAUUCGAUACUGGGCGGCUAGAGUUCGGUAGGGGAGACUGGAAUUCCUGGUGUAGCGGUGAAAUGCGCAGAUAUCAGGAGGAACACCGGUGGCGAAGGCGGGUCUCUGGGCCGAUACUGACGCUGAGGAGCGAAAGCGUGGGGAGCGAACAGG
rnacentral:rRNA from 1 species